AGAGUUUGAUCCUGGCUCAGAAUGAACGCUGGCGGCGUGCUUUACACAUGCAAGUUGAGCGAGGCCACCCGCAAGGGUGAGUCGAGCGGCGAACGGGUGAGUAACGCGUGGAUGACCUGCCCUUGAGUGGGGAAUAACCCGGGGAAACUCGGGCUAAUACCGCAUAAGACCGAGAGGUGAAAGUGGGGUCGCAAGAUCUCAUGCUCGAGGAGGGGUCCGCGUUCGAUUAGCUAGUUGGUAGGGUAAUGGCCUACCAAGGCGACGAUCGAUAGCCGGCCUGAGAGGGUGAUCGGCCACACUGGAACUGAGACACGGUCCAGACUCCUACGGGAGGCAGCAGUGGGGAAUUUUGCGCAAUGGGCUAACGCCUGACGCAGCAACGCCGCGUGGAGGAUGAAGGUCUUUGGAUUGUAAACUCCUGUCAGCAGGGAAAAAGGGGCUAGACCUAAUACGUCUGGAACUUGAUUGUACCUGCAGAGG
rnacentral:rRNA from 1 species